rnacentral:lncRNA from 1 species
GGAGGCUUUGAGCAGCCAAAUAAGAAAGCUUAGAUGAUGGUUAUAGUUUUGUGUUAGAUAUUGGAGAUCUUAUCUCAUGCUUUAGAUCUUAUCUCAUGCAUUAUAGCGAUAUAAUUGCUGUUUUUGAACCAACUCUCUGUCUCUCUCUCAUGUGCUAGGGGAGGAGGCCACCAUGUAGGAAAAUGAUUUAUAGGCGGUUUGGAGGAAAAAGAUGAGGAGAAGAAGUGGAUAGAAAGAAAGGAGAGGAGAGAAGUGAGAAGAAGAAUGGGUGGAGAGGAGGAGAAUGGAUAGAGAAAGGAGAGGAGGAGAAAGGAGGAGGGAGAAAGAGGAGGAAGGUGAGGAGGAGAAAUAGAUAAAAAGAAGGGAGGAAGAGAAAGAAAGAAGGAAGUGGGAGAAAAAGAGACACCGACUAUGGAGGAAGAGAGAGGAGGAAGAAGAUGGGUAUUUUUAUCAUUUUAAAAUUUUUUAUU